UACUGAUUAGGGAACGUGGAUUUUUACUGUGGAAGGGAAGAAGGAAGUACUAGUUAAUUGCUGCCUCUGUGACUCAUUGAAAUGAAUAGCUCUGGCACAGGCUCCAAGCAUGUACCUGUGGGCAGCUCUGCUCGUUGCUAAGCAACGACCCCAGAAUCUCCAGCAGGCUCGCUUUGUUAUAUAGUGCCUGGAUGAUUGGCAGGGACACGGCUAGGUUUCAGCAAUGUGAAACUGUCGCGCCACUGCAGGAUCGUCUGGAGGGAAGGUGUGAUUUUUGUGUCCCUAUACAGCUGCAGUUUUCUGUGCUUCAAUCAUCUUCAAGGUGGCUGUAGACAUAUGCAUUUUUGAUCUUCAUUCAACAGUAUAUAAAGAUAAAGAUGAUAUAAUUGAGCAAAACACAAGGAAAUACUGUGGAAAAAGGAGUUGUAAGUGCAGAACAAGAUGUCACUGAAACCAUGGAGGCAGAAAUGAUAAACACAUCCCAGAUCCAGACAACAACAACAGAGCAUGUCUACUGUGAUUAACUCUUCAACCAAUGCCUUUGUCUCGUGUUUUCUCGAUUUUGCUUGGUAAUAAUACAUAUCUUGACAAUGUAGAGUGCAUCCCUUCAGCUUAGAAACUCAUAUCUUCCUGUAACGGUUUUUAAGAGACAAACACCUCCAGCAAUGGGAUCGUUCUGGUCUAAAAACUAGUUCACUCCUUUGUGCAGUGGAGUGUGAUGGAUAUUAAUAUUUUAAUGACCUUCUUUGGUCUAAAGGUGUUAACCCAUUCAUAGUAAGAAUGAUUGUCUCUCCUGCAGAGCUAGCAUAAGUCUUACUCUAAAAACACUCCCCGGUGUUAGUGUGAUGCCUGCUGUACAGUAUGUCUGUAAUGAGAAUGCUCUAGGGGCCAAUGUUUUACUCCGUGUCUUGCAGAGAGAUGAAAGCAACAGAAUGGAGCACAUUAUUCCAGCAUCAGAGCAUAGAGAGAAUAUAUUCCAUAGUUUUUGCUUUAUUGUUUAAUAUUGGGUUGCAUGUGAGUGGGAAUUUAUCCCCCCCUGAUAAAUAUGAUGGAUGCAUGCUUCUGUCAUUUAAAGACACAGCUAAACUUUUUAAGGGGUACUGUAUAUAAUAUAUUUGUCCAUUAACCUGCCUCAACUAAACAUUGAUAUAACCCUUUUUUGUUGAGUAAUUGUGUGACUUCCACCCCAGACAAUCUUUGUUUUCCAUGUAAUUGUCAUUUGCUGCUAUCUUAACUCACUUCUCCCCAUGCUCAUAUUCCCCAUCCAUGUGCAUAUGCACAAUAAUUAUAUGAAUAAAAAUAA